UAAGGAGAGAAGAGGAAGGAGAGAUGUUGGAGGGUUUAACACUCGACUGACUUUAGAGGAACUGCAGCUCGGAGCACUUUUAAUACCGCGGUCACACUCAGCGUUUCCUGGAAGUCGCUGCUUGAUGACAUCCUGCAGGUGUCAGAGGUUAUGACUCAUGAGCACAGGGUUGCUGGUUUAAAUCCUGCUACUAUGAACAAAUACAGUGAGUGUUUGGGUGAUAGUUGAUAAGUUGAGUAAAUGUUUCCUGCACAGGCGUUUUUUUUAUUCUUUUAGUUUGUGUGUGAGCUCUGGUGUCGGUCUGUAUUUCAGGUUCAGUAACGUCAGUGUCGCUGUGACUGAUGCUCAUAUUUUUAUCACUUCUAUCAUCAUCAUGCUGCUGAUACUGAAAGUGCUUCUGUUUCCACUGCAGUGACUGAAUAUUCUGUUUUAAAUACACGACUUCUUCUCUCGUGCUCUCUGCUGUCAGCACAGGCCUGGAAGUCCUCCUAACUGUUAUCUCCCGAGGAGCUGAUGUGAUUGGGUUGAUCUUUGUUUAUGUCAUUCAAACCCAGAGUGCUUUCUCCUGGAUAAUCUGUUGCUCCACAAAGGACAAUGUUCAUUUGUGAUCUUUUGUCCAAGUUUAGGAGGUUUUCUUCCUCGUGUCAUGUUCACCCUUAGUUUGCAGAAGCUUCAUCGUCAGCCUGUGUAAUCCAUUCAGAGAUUCGUUAUUCCCUCUGCUUUAGAGAUGAACUCAGAUGUCAGGGCAUUAAAGCUGGUACAGACCCCGUUUACAGGUCACCGACCUAAGGAUCAGCUGAUCAGCACAUGUUUUAUUACACUGACAGUAGCAGGGUUAUUGAAACAUUUGGUCAGAUUUGAUGAAAUUGUCCCCUGAGGUGCAGCUCAGUCUGUUUUUAGGAUUAUUCUCUGAUGUGUCAUUUUAAAUGCACGUCAGAAAGAAGCGGGAGAAAUGUUGUAUAUCUUGGGAAAAUUUUACUUUCUGGCAGUCAGGGAAUUGGGGUCCAGGGUGGGUUUGGGUUUUGUUUUUUUUCUUCACUUCAACGGACUUGAAGUCUACUUUAGAUACCAUCUAAAUCAUCGAUUGGUGGAGUUUUUGUUUUAGCUCAUCUUUAGAGAAAACGUCUCUGUGGUAGAUUCCCAGCUGUCGGGCUGCUUUCACCUCUUGUGAAGGAAUAAAGAGCACGAAGAAGAAGAAGAAGAAGAAGAAGCAGCUGCUUGUGUCGGAGGCAGAGAGAAAAUUAGUGGGUUGAAUAAGCAUCCACACGUUGGCUGUGUCACUGUGGAAAACAACAGGAACAGGAAGUCUGUGUUUUCCCGGCACUUCUGCACAUACCACAGAGUGUGAGCGCUUUGAUAGGAGC